rnacentral:rRNA from 1 species
GUGGUUCACAAAAAUUUCAUACCCCCAGAUGCGGAUGCUAUACUCAACAUUCCGUUGAGGCAAGGAGGAGGUGAUGACUCGUUGGCAUGGGCUUUUGAAAAAUCGGGUUGCUACACUGUAAGAUCAGCGCAUCGUGCUCUAAUGACUCGGAACGAGCAGACUGCUCUAGAGAAAGGGACGAUUACCGAAUCUUCAUUGACAGACAAACAGAUGUGAUCCCGUUUGUGGAAGCUCAAAGUCAUCCCAAGAGUGAGAGUCUUCUGGUGGAGGGUAUUACAUGGCAUUCUCCCAACAGAAGCAACUCUUAAAUACCGUCACAUUGCUACCGUUAGUACAUGCAAAAUCUGUCUUCACACUGACGAAGACAUGAUGCAUGCCCUGCUGGACUGUUCUCAUGCCAGGCAGUUUUGGGAUGCAGCCCCCGAAUGGUUGAACAUCAGAAGGCCGGUAUUGCACCCUCUCACCUGGUCAAGAGAUAUCCUGUGCGAUCCUAUGUUCUCAGAGUCACAGAGAGCGACUAUAGUGACUGUUACGUGGAUGAUUUGGACCUCACGGAACAAUAUCACCCAUGACAAAAAUGCAUAG